AUUGAACGCUGGCGGCAUGCUUUACACAUGCAAGUCGAACGGCAGCGAGGAGAAGCUUGCUUCUCUGUCGGCGAGUGGCGAACGGGUGAGUAUAGCAUCGGAACGUGCCAAGUAGUGGGGGAUAACCAAACGAAAGUUUGGCUAAUACCGCGUAAGCUCUAAGGAGGAAAGUAGGGGACCUAAAUAAGGCCUUACGCUAUUUGAUCGGCCGAUGUCGGAUUAGCUAGUUGGUGGGGUAAUGGCUCACCAAGGCAAUGAUCCGUAGCGGGUCUGAGAGGACGAUCCGCCACACUGGGACUGAGACACGGCCCAGACUCCUACGGGAGGCAGCAGUGGGGAAUUUUGGACAAAGGGGGAAACCCUGAUCCAGCCAUGCCGCGUGUAUGAAGAAGGCCUUAGGGUUGUAAAGUACUUUUGUUAGGGAAGAAAAGCUAGUUUUUAAUAAAAAUUAGUGAUGACGGUACCUAAAGAAUAAGCACCGGCUAACUACGUG
rnacentral:rRNA from 1 species